rnacentral:rRNA from 1 species
UGGGGAAUAUUGCACAAUGGGGGGAACCCUGAUGCAGCCAUGCCGCUUGAAUGAAGAAGGCCUUCGGGUAGUAAAGUUCUUUCGGUGACGAGGAAGGUUGGUAGGUUAUUAGCGUAUCAAAUCGACGUUAAUCACAGAAGAAGCGCCGGCUAACUCCGCGCCAGCAGCCGUGGUAAUACGGGGGGUGCGAGCGUUAAUCGGAAUAACUGGGCGUAAAGGGCCCGCAGGCGGUGAAUUAAGGGAGAUGUGAAAGCCCCGAGAUUAACUUGGGAAUUGCAUUUCAUACUGGGUCGCUAGAGUUCUUUAGGGAGGGGUAGAAUUCCACGUGUAGCGGUGAAAUGCGUAGAGAUGUGGAGGAAUACCGAAGGCGAAGGCAGCNCCUUGGGAAUGUACUGACGCUCAUGUGCGAAAGCGUGGGGAGCAAACAGGAUUAGAUACCCUGGUAGUCCACGCUGUAAACGAUCUAGAUGUGGGGAGUGGGCUUGGAGCUUGGUGCCCGUAGCUAACGUGAUAAAUCGACCGCCUGGGGAGUAACGGUCGCAAGGUUA